UGGUCGUAAGUCUGACGGAGCACGCCGCGUGAGUGAUGAAGGCUUUCGGGUCGUAAAACUCUGUUGUUAGGGAAGAACAAGUACGAGAGUAACUGCUCGUACCUUGACGGUACCUAACCAGAAAGCCACGGCUAACUACGUGCCAGCAGCCGCGGUAAUACGUAGGUGGCAAGCGUUAUCCGGAAUUAUUGGGCGUAAAGCGCGCGCAGGCGGUUUCUUAAGUCUGAUGUGAAAGCCCACGGCUCAACCGUGGAGGGUCAUUGGAAACUGGGGAACUUGAGUGCAGAAGAGAAAAGCGGAAUUCCACGUGUAGCGGUGAAAUGCGUAGAGAUGUGGAGGAACACCAGUGGCGAAGGCGGCUUUUUGGUCUGUAACUGACGCUGAGGCGCGAAAGCGUGGGGAGCAAACAGGAUUAGAUACCCUGA
rnacentral:rRNA from 2 species